ensembl:lncRNA
GUUGCCGAUCGCGCUCGGAGCCCGCGGCCCGGCUAGUGGUGGCCCCCAUAAGCGGACCUGCUCGAUGGAGGAGGCAUUUGGGGGCUCAGGAAGAAAUUAGCGCAGCUCCAUACCUGUACGGACUGCACAACUGUUAAACUCCAGGACUCAAUGAUAAGGAUCCACAUACACACAGGUACAGAAAUACAACCAGAGCAGAGCCUUUUCAGACCCGAGCUGACCGGAAGACAUUGCCUUUCAUUCAUUCAUUCUGCCCGCGUCUGUGGAGACCUUUACUAGGCGACAAGCCCUGGAGCAGAAGUUGGACAUUUUUUAAAGGUCCCUGCGCUCGCCAAGAGGAGGAAAUAGAUGCUCAGGAGUGAACUACCGAGAGAAUCGGAUCUGGCGCCUCCUAACGCAGCUGGCAGACAUGCGAAGGGUAAGCCCUUAUUGGCUGUUUAUAGGAGAAAAGUCGGUGGAAAGGUGCAAGGCGCUGGGAUGGGGCAUGGGGAACUUUGGGCUCCCCUUGAUUAAUCCUACAGCGCUGCUUGACAGAGGUAUGGGCACCCUCUGGACGUAUAUGGAGUAUCGUUAGAUCUGGAUAUGCUUCCCUGCCCACAAACCUAGUUCGCUGGUUCGGGUUCCCCAAAACUGGAACCCUGAAUGUGUUGUCCGUCAAGAACAACAGUCAGGUCGACUUUGAUUGUGAGAAAAGCUGGCCCUAACUUCUAGCCCAACUAGGCCCUGCUCUUGGGGGUAAGAUCCGGAUGAGGUGGCAUGGCCCCGGGGCUACAAUAAAGGAACAUUUUACCUGCUCAGAGCAGACUUUGCACGAAAAACUUCCCAUACUUUAAAUUUUGCUUCUAUCGUGAAUCCUGUGGGAUAGUUGAAGCACAUCAUUUUGCAAAUGGGAAACUGAGGCUCUGAGAAAUUUUGAACCUGGAUAAUUGCUGUAACCCUCAUAUCCUCCCCAUGUCAACACAGUAAUCAGACAGACUUGUGAAGAGGAAGUGGCUUCCCCAACAGAGAUCAGAUGUGAACCGUCAGCUCAGAAUUGGUCACCUUCAGAGACAGCUUACCCCUCACAUUGAAGUUUUCUGUCCUGUCUUUCUGUGUGUGUGUGUGUGUGUGUGUGUGUGUGUGUGUGUGUGUGUGUUAACCCACCCUUUGAAGUUUGUCUUAAUCCAAGUCACGAGCUGACAAACAUUAAAAUUUUUUCCAGGCUGAUAUUGCCCACCUUGGCUUAGUGGGAGUAAGGAAGGUUUUGCCUUCAGCCUGUGCCAAGAACCAGGGACCGUUUUAUUUGCUUCUCACUUUCUCACCAGAACCCUUUAAGGGACACAGCCUUGUUAUUCCUCAUUUUGCAGAUAAAGAAACAGAAAGGGAAAGCCAGUCACUCAAAAUCACACAGCUUGUGAAGGAGGUUACUGGGGCUCAAACUGGAGCCUCCUGGCUGUGCCAUCACAUCCUUUUUUGGAUGUUGACCAUCUUCGCUGCUCCAACGUAAUGAGAUAAACAUAUUCAAAGGAGGAUGCAGUGGGCUGGAAGGUCAUGCAUUAAGGGCAGUAAAGCAAAACUGGGAAAUAAAACACUAGAUCUCCAUUCUCCUUUCCUCCCAGAGACCCUUUUCUGUCUCCCCAUGUGGUCUCAUGGUGUCCCCAAAAGCUGGUGUCAGGAAAAGACCUGAUGGCAGACACGUUAGUGUAAAAACUGUUAAGUCCAUAUAUCACCCCAGUGGGGAGUUCCUGGGCUGUCAGAGUGGGAAGGGGUUGAGUAGUCACCUAAUUUAAUCCCCUCCCUUUACAAACCGCCAGGAAACCACAGACCAGAGAGAAGAAUGGGCCAGCCGGGGGGGUUUGUUCCCCUUUGACGCCCCCAGAAUGCCUACCCUGCCGCCUAGUCCUAAGUGGUCACUCCAUAAAUGUUGGGCCCUUGAUGGAUCACCUUCCCCAGCAAUAUUUGCAUUUUCCCUUUAUCAGUAAUUGGCAGAUGAAAGGCUUUGUCCUCCUGUUGAAAGAAUUCCAGGCAUUUGCUCAAAGUGGGGGGAGGAGGUUAUUUUGGGCCAAAGGAGGAGGGGCCAAGACCCCUGAGCUCCUUCCUUGGGUAAAUGUCCCAGAGAAUGGCCGGUAGGUGAGAGAGGGGAGGGAAGUUUAAGGUGACUACU